UAUUCAGGAAACGUAGUUAAUGGCCAGUUC
rnacentral:piRNA from 1 species